rnacentral:rRNA from 1 species
GAUGGACGCUGGCGGCGUGCUUAACACAUGCAAGUCGAACGAUGAAAGCGGGAGCUUGCUCCUGCUGGAUUAGUGGCGAACGGGUGAGUAACACGUGAGUAACCUGCCCUUGACUCUGGGAUAAGCGUUGGAAACGACGUCUAAUACCGGAUACGACCCUCGGAGGCAUCUCCAGGGGGUGGAAAGAAUUUCGGUCAAGGAUGGACUCGCGGCCUAUCAGCUAGUUGGUGAGGUAACGGCCCACCAAGGCGACGACGGGUAGCCGGCCUGAGAGGGUGACCGGCCACACUGGGACUGAGACACGGCCCAGACUCCUACGGGAGGCAGCAGUGGGGAAUAUUGCACAAUGGGCGAAAGCCUGAUGCAGCAACGCCGCGUGAGGGACGACGGCCUCGUGUAC